GGAGGAGCAGCCUGCAAGACAGGCCCAAAAAGCAGCAAGGCCAGGAGCAGCACGAGCCCAAGGACCCGUAGCAUCGUGGGACCACGGGACCACUGUCCUCCCACCUGACCCGAAUUCCAAGUCCUCCUUCCUCCUUGCCACACUCCUACUUCGAGGUAAACUCGCUGAAGCAUCGCAACACCACAUCAAAGAACAAAUUUAAUGCAAGAAUCCACACGGAAAUACCCUAGAAGCACGUGACACCACCCCAAGGCACCGGGAUUACCUGCGUGCAGAAAAACAGG